rnacentral:lncRNA from 1 species
UCUGGUGUGAUACAAGGGCAGAGUAUAGCCUUGCUUCUCCAAAGCACCAGAGAAGAACUGGCCAUGUGGAUGCAACCAUUUGUCACUGGGGAAUACUUCCCUUGUAAACAGAUCCAAUAAACUCAGGAGCAUCUUUUGCCACCCUCAGUGAUAAGGCUUUGACAACAAUUACCUUAAAAUAUGAAGGCUCUGAGAGAUGUUCUAUGUUAGUUGAUGUCAGGCUUGGUUCUGAUUCCUUAAUGCAGGGUAAUGCAUUUAACUGGAUAAAAUCAAAUUAGGUGGCUAAGAGGUAACUUGAGGAGAUAUAUCUCGGGAGCACAAGUUGCCAGGCAGAAUCCAGUUGGGUUUCUAGGGCUGAAUUAAUCUCCAAACAUGGCCUAAGACUGCAAGCAGGACCCAAGAGCAGCUGACAUCUCUGUGCCUGCAAAGCAGCACGUGCACAGAUACUGGCUGCUAAUGAAUGCGUUCUUUUCCAGGAUCCUCCUACAGGCAGCGGGCAGAGAAGCAUUGUGCUGACCCUCCUACCUGACCCUGUCUCAUCAGUCCUGCAACGUGUGCAAGGAGUCGUGUCAGUCUGCAGAUCCCACCCAGUGUUGCCCAGUGAUUGCAUCCUGUACCGCCAAGCAUCGAGCCUUUGGAAUGGAGGUGGGACAUCCAGCAGAACAGCAGGGGAAGGGGCAGCUCAGGGAGCUGUGGAAGCACCGGCAGCAGCGGCUGCCGCUCACAGAGCCCCUGUGAUGCAGAUUUCCUGUUUGAAGCACGGACACAGCUGUGGUGCUGCUCACGGUUACCAGAUAGAGAUCACUUUUAAUGGUGGCAGAGUGAAGCAACACCGCAUGAAUUAAGGUGGUUACACAGAGACCGGGUUUUCUAUUGGCAUCAGCAGAGGUCGAGUUCUCCUGAUCUGGAAGGCGUCCAGAGAGCGCUUUUUGGCACGGGGACCCCGAUAGCUCAUUUCCCAAGCAAACCCCUGGUUGGGGCUGGGACUCUCUUGCCCUGGAUUCUCCCUGGGCACAGACAGGAAGACACAGACGGGGUCUGCUUCUGAGAACGCCCACGCAUGAAAAAGUCAUUCUGGAACUGCAGGGUAAUUCCGGCUCUGGCUGAGAACUGCUCGCAUCACGACUAUCUUUGCAUUCUCAGCGACUCGUCCCAUACGUCUGCUGCAUAGAUUCUCGUAGCAUUUCCUUUUUUCUGAGAUAUCUGUAUACUCCUUUCUGUGCUGUGAUAUUCAGCACGUACUUUCCCAUAACUCUCCCCUGGCUGUGUCUGCGCUGCAGCGCGUUGCCCCGUUGGGAACAGGCAUUUGGCUGCUCCGUGAAGCCCCUGCCAGCUCCUGCUGCAAGCUCUGGUGCCUGGGCCCCCCCCCCCCCCUGCUCACAGAGCCCUCGCUGUCCUGCACCUCUCUUCGUGCCCCCUGUGCCUGAUUUGGGCUCAUCUUUUGCGGAGUUUCUGCAGAUGUUUUUUUAUUUAAACCACAUUUUAUGAAGGGAAGGAAAGGAGACCCGCGGACGCAGAGGAAGGAGGUGUGUUUCAUGGGAUCACAUUUAUCCCGAGGUGGCUCUGAUGCCAGGAAAGCGCUCACAUCGUUCAUAAUUUGUCUCAUUUGUUCUUCUCUCCAGCUCCCCCCUCAAAAAAAACACCAACAGGAAUUCCUUGCUUCCUCGCCUGCUAAUUAAAUCUCCCUGCCUGCAAUAAACCACGAAGGUCUAUCA